GCCGCCUUAGCUCAGCUGGUGGAGCACUCGGCUGUUAACCGAGAGGUCGCCGGUUCGAAUCCGGCAGGCGGCG
rnacentral:tRNA from 2 species